UACGAAGGGGACUAGCGUUGUUCGGAAUCACUGGGCGUAAAGCGCACGUAGGCGGAUGUGUCAGUCAGGGGUGAAAUCCCGGGGCUCAACCUCGGAACUGCCUUUGAUACAGCACGUCUCGAGUCCGGAAGAGGUGGGUGGAAUUCCUAGUGUAGAGGUGAAAUUCGUAGAUAUUAGGAAGAACACCGGUGGCGAAGGCGGCCCACUGGUCCGGUACUGACGCUGAGGCACGAAAGCCAGGGGAGCGAACGGG
rnacentral:rRNA from 1 species